rnacentral:rRNA from 1 species
UACAGAGGAGCCAAGCGUUGUCCGGAUUGACUGGGCGUAAAGCGCACGCAGGCGGACGCGCGCGUGGGGUGUGAAAUCUGGCCGCUUAACGGCCAGGCGCCAUCCCAUACGGCGCGUCUGGAGUGAUGCAGAGGUCGAUGGAAUUGCCGGUGUAGUGGUGAAAUGCGUAGAGAUCGGCAGGAACACCCAGGGGGAAACCAGUCGACUGGGCAUCUACUGACGCUGAGGUGCGAGAGCGUGGGGAGCGAACCGG